rnacentral:rRNA from 1 species
UACGUAGGGUGCAAGCGUUAAUCGGAAUACUGGGCGUAAAGCGUGCGCAGGCGGUGAUGUAAGACAGGUGUGAAAUCCCCGGGCUUAACCUGGGAACUGCAUUUGUGACUGCAUCGCUGGAGUGCGGCAGAGGGGAUGGAAUUCCGCGUGUAGCAGUGAGAUGCGUAGAUAUGUGGAGGAACACCGAUGGCGAAGGCAGCCUCCUG